CCGGCUUCCUCCCACAGUCCAAAGACAUGCUCUGGGGGAUCAGGUUAAUUGGGGACUCUAAAUUGCCCGUUGCUGUGUGAAUGUGAGUGUGAAUGGUUGUAUGUCUCUGUGUAGCCCUGCGAUUGGCUGGCGACCAAUCCAGGAUGUACCCUGUCUAUCGCCCGAAGUUGGCUGGGAUGGACUCCAGCCCCCCCGCGACCCUGUGUGCAGGAUAAGCAGUUUGACAAUGGAUGGAUGGUUUGCAAUCUGGACUGCGUGGUAUUGCAGACAUUGGUAGGGUUACAGGAGUGCCACUUUCUAUGGCUAUCAAUAUCUUUUGGUUUACAACAGUAUUUCCCAAACAACAGCCACCCAUAAGGGAAAAAAAGACACGAGACCCUUUAUCUUCCAAGGGGGCCCUGACAGAAAAAAGUUUCGAAACCACUGGUUUGAGAUAAUUUGAAGCGUAGAGCCAGUUUGUGAUUGGCCUCAUGUAGUUGCAGCUUAAUCAUAUAGUGCAACCUGAACUCUGAGGUAAGUCAUUACUUACUAUUGUUAGUUUUACAUUAAAUUCCUUUCUACUUCAAGAUCAAUUUAAUUAUGUUUUGUAUAGCCUCAAAUCAGAUAUUACGAUUGCAACAUAGUACAAAAAGAAUCAUAAUUCUACAGUAAGCGCAGUAAUUACACUAAUAAUUGUGGAAUAAAUUAUACAAAUAAGCAGGUAUGGCAGCAUUCAUAAUGAGAGAUUUGACUAAAAUAUUAGCAAAUGUACAAUAGUUGAAUGCCUUCUUAGGCUGAAACGUUAAUUUUUUUUGCUAAAAAUAUAAAGUAUUGAACCAGUUGGCGUACGAGUGACACAACGAGUCCUUGUGUGCGAUCAGAAAGCGCUGAAUUUGUGUGUGUCAAUUGUGCGCCCUGUGGUCUGACCGCUAUGUAAACACAACCAAGUGUGCUGUGAAGUAGUGGCGUAAUAAAACCAGUGUGAGACCACUUUUGGUGGGCAAGAGUCACAGCACAUCCACUCAGGAGACAUCGUGUUAAAGACUGCUUUAGAAGUGUCCUUGUUUUUAAGUCAUAAAAAUUGUUAUGGACUUCUUUUUGUACCAGAUAUCAUAUGUACCUGUUGAUUUCACCAUACUUAGAGCUUUUAUUUUUUUGAUCACUAUACUGAGAUAGUUAUGAUUAAUUUCCCCCGACAGCUUUUCAUAUACCAGCAGUCACCCGUGCUUGAGGAGUCUUAUGAAAAGCCCAUGAGGAACACUGAGUCUUACCUUUUUUAUUUGUAUCCUACCACAGCUACCCGUUCCAUGUUAUCAUUUAAAUUGCUUUCUCGCUUCAGGCCCAGAGAAGAGCAGUAAUGUCAUUGUGUGAUGACAAACAAACAAUGCCUCUACCAUAUUUUGAUUCCUAUCUUCUUUGGACAAAAUUGCAGAAAACUGCAUAUUAAAUAAUUGUGGCUCAGACAACCUCCAGCACACAGAGAGAUUGAUUGGAAAUGUGACAUUGUGCCGCUAACAAAAGUCAGUCCCUCAAAGGCGUGGCGCUCUUUGCCUUCGCUCUCUGUGAGCACAUUUGUGGUUUAAGCAGCAUGUACCCAUCAAAUUAAACCUCCCCUCACAUUUCAGCAAAUUCUUGUCUCCGAACGUAUACCACAGGGCUGACGGACAGCACUGUGGCCGAAUCGCUUCCUCAGCUGUGGAGGUCUGCUCUAGUGAGUAAUAAUGAUCUGUGUACCAUCAGCCAUUGUUCGCUUUACUUCCACACUGCCUUGCAGAAACCAAUAUUACUUAGAAAAAUAAUUGUUUCUCAACCUUUAUAACAUUUGAUUUACCAAAAGGUGUUACGGCCUGCCUAUCGUGCCUAGGGGGGCACAGGCGUAACACACAAAGGUAGCCUUGCAAAGGUGGAACGACGGAGAAAAACAAGGCGUGAGCGAGGUUAGCACAACAGUGUCUGCGUUUUGAGCGCUCACAUUAAAGGGGACGGCUAGCCGUGACACUGGGCUUGUCCAAAAUAUCUGCAGUCUCUUCAAAUCUUUUUCUUAUUCUUUGUACUUGACGCUAAGCCACCUCAGCAGUGGAUCUGGUCUUCAGCAUCUUGAUAAUCAACGCUUUGAUCUCAGGGUCAAUCCUGGGCAUGCUGUCUGAGGUCAAGUUGCGGUUAAUGUGAAGGGUAUCGUGUGCUGGGGUUCUUUUUAUACACACCCACUAAUUAAUUGAUCAAUUAUUGAUCACAGGUGAGGCUGUAAUCCAGGAUUGGGUGCAUCAUAUGACAAGGAGACAAGACUUUUGUCUUUGCAAAAACUGACUCAGUGGGCUUUACCAAGCUGUGAACGUUAGAACGCUUUUCAGUAGUUUCGUUUGGCACCAAAACAUUUCAAAAGAUGUUUAGAUUGAAAUUAGCCCCAAAAAUGUGUUACAAAUAUAUUUGAGGGGCACUUAAGUUCAACUUGUGACUUUUGUCAGGGAAUAUGUAUGUAUAUAGGAUUCCUGAACAUUCAAAUCCUUCUUCUUCCUCAAUCUUUCAGCUACAGCCACUAUUUCAAAAUGUUGACAACACCCACAACGAUUUUUGAUAUCUAUUCAACUUUUUUUAAUAUAACUGAUUAUGCAAACUCAAGUGUUCCAGACUGUUUGAGAUUUACAUGCGUGUGUACGUGGCAUGUUGGAGUGGACAGCUUCAGAAUCUGGUUCAAAAAUAGAUUUUUACCAGAUAUUUUGACCAGCAUUGCCACACAUUUCCACUCUUCUAGCUUAAUUUUUUAAAGAGUAGAAAAUACAUUUUGUGAAUGUGAAUCCGACAUGUGUGAAAUCCAACAUACUUCCCAUUUGUAGCUGACGUGGAGAGUGCACUAACCAUCUCCAAAUGGAGCUGAUUGAACUCUAAUGUAGUGACACACUCAAGGCAAAGAAUGACUCUGUGGGCACUGCAGUUUCCACGUUCCCAGCUACAAUGCCCCAAUACUUAAGCUGCUCAACUGUGGGAAUGUUUCCUUUUUGCACUUUGUUACGAAUGAAUGCAACAGGUUUUCCUUUGAUCAAUGUUUUUAAUGCGCUUGACUUACACCCAUUUUGGCCCAAAUUGUAUUUGAGUUUGGCACCUCUGAUUUCGAGAGAAGCUCUUAUCAUGGCGGCCACUUGUUGCGGGUCAUUUCACUCAGUUAACAACUUUCCUAAGCAAAUUUGACAAUUUCAAUCCAGCCAAAGACUGGAAAUGAAAAAUGUGGAGGGUCUCUUUGGGGCACCUGAACUGGGAUACGCCAGUCUGUGUGUCAAGGCUGGGUAGUCGACCCGGCACACAGAGAUUCACACAGGACACUGACACCUCAGUAGAAGUAAUUUUAUUGAGUGCAGGACUCCAAGGGACGGGGAUAGCCAAGGCUGAGCCCGGGGUUCUGGGGACGAAGAUACAAACACACAGGAUGGGGAGAAACGGCAGCUGACCCAUAACACUGUGUGGUUUAACUGCUGAUGGCUGUAUUCAAUUAAAUAUUUUAGUGUGACUGCACUGGGUUUUGUUACAAAAUAAACAUUUUGAUUUUAAUUUAACCCUAACCCAACCCCUCACGUAUCCAUCCCUAAAACCUUAGCUGUCUACAGCCCUGCUGCGCUUCCACUGCAAUGGCAGAUCCGCAGGAUGAUAUAUUUCCACUUAAAUGGAGCCUCGUGACUUGAUUGCACAUCUCGGGCAGACCAUAAGAUUGGAACAUAAUCAUUUAACACUGACUGGGAGUGUUGACCUACUGCACACAGCAAGAAUACCUAUAAAAUAGUCAGUCAGUCAUUAAUCUUCUAUAUCGUUUAUAUAGAGUGUUGUAGGGGGACUGGAGUCAAUCCUAGCAAACAUCGAGCAAGAGAACGGCUACACCCUGGACUGGUUGCCAGUUAAUCAGGGCUGCCUGUUGUACAUUCAAAUUAUACAACAAAUCAUCGAUAGUCAUACAUUGGAGAAGUUGAUAACUGUGCUGGAUAAGUGUCCAACGUUUUUGAGAAUCAAAUAUCUACUUAAAUGAUGCAAAGAGUAAGCGAAACAUAAUCAAUGUUUGAAGUUCAAAACUCAAAAUUCCUCAGAGUUCAAACCCCCAAAAAACGUUGUGUUACAGUAGCGGUUUUUAUUUGAUGUUGACGUGUCAAUUUGUGUCAGCGUCAAUGAGCUGAUUGGCCCUGAAACUGACACAUUGCUCUUAAGGGAAGGUGGUCAUUUCUCUGUCAUAUUGUGACUGAUUUUAGCUUUGAAAUAUGUCACUGUUCCAUCACAAGAUUUUUGACAGGGGAGUUUGAUGUGUGUUCCCAUAGCCUGGCGGACAAGCAGAAAUCUAGCAACAAUUCCAUAAUACUUGCGCUUUUGAUUGUUUGUUGCAGAUGCUAUGGAUGUUGUAAAUUGUCAUGAAAUACGAUGUUAUGUAUGGAUGAAGUAAGAGUAUGAUAACAGAUGGUAUUAAAGAUAUUCAUUACACAAAACCUCAAACCUAAGACAAGGUUAUGUAGAUAAUUUGGGCUCAUAAACCCCAUUUAAGGGACUAUACAGUGAAAUUAAUAUUGGAUUUCUCCAAAGGCCGCCUGAACAGCAUUUUAUGGAGGAGCAUUUUAAAAGCUAAUGUUCCGCUGGGGACAUGUAACUGAGUUACAAUUGUCAGCACACUAAUAAAUUUAGUAGUGGUGAUAACAAAUUAGAUGAUUCCCAAUUGGUUAUUGGUGUCAUUGCUCUCACCUGGAAGAGAGGGCAAACAGGGUGAGUUUCAUCACAACACUAAUACAAAAGGGGGCAGGGAGGGCGGCAACCAGGUAGAGGAGGCGUAAGGAAGGGCUGCACAGUAUUGUUUUUCAAGUUUCAAACACAGUCAUUCUGUUGUGGUUGUGAGGGAGAGAGAACUCAAACGCAAAGCAAGGUAAAGUCUCUUUUGAUAAACUCUGGAAGGCCGAGGCAAAAAUAGACCUCAGAGGUUUAGCAACGAUACAGUACUAGUUCAACACGAACCGGCAGGGCAGGGUAGGGCAGGGCAGGGCAGGGCAGGGGGUACGGGACAGUAAGCUCAGGCACGUAUAGUGCAGAUUAUGCUCUGGCGGAGAACAAAGGGAAGAGGCCGACUAGAAAUAGAGCUUCUAAUUAGAGGAAGCAGGAACAGGUGAGGGAAAGAGGAUGAUGAGAGAAUGAGAAGCAUCUGGGAGUGAAUGAGCGGGUGUAAGUGAAAGGAGGGUGUGUGUGUGUGUGUGUGUGUGUAAAUGACACGAAAGAGGUGUAAAGGAAAAAGAAGAGGAAGGUACCCGGUUCAUGACAAAUUUAUUGACCCGGGAAAGGACCGCGGCUACCCGAACAGCUGUUCGGCUUUCUGAUCUAACGUAACUUACCAAAAACCCUCCAAACAGACACAGCUCCUCGUUUGGGCACAAGUUGUGUUGGUGCAUCUCUGGUCUCUUGUUGUUCCUCCUGUAUCGCUCUUUUCCGUGUUUUCAUGUAGCAACAGAGUUAACGUUACUUCUUGUUGUGAGCUGUACCCAGCAUGCAGUUUGGCGUGUGUGUUGGCCCUGUAACUGAAAAAAGUAGCGAACGGACUGUCAAAAACCGUUGGCGGUCAGCGGUAGAUUUUUGUCUUUAAUACAACUGCCUAAAAAUUACAGUGGUUCUCUGUUACACUCAUUUCGAAUAAAAUGACUUCACUUCUUACACUGAAUUAUGGACAUUUUAUUCAAUUUACACCUCUGAUAUUCCUGCCAGUUUGACCCGCUAUGUAAAUGAGGUCUGUUUACCAUAUUCCAAAAAAAAGUGUGAAAUAGGUGGUACUUAGUAGGAGUUGGUGCCAAAAAAGGAACCGUAAAAUUAAAAGUAGCAAUAGAAAACUAGAAGAACUACUAGAAAACACAGUGAACUGAAAAAGUUAGUUUUAUUAAAAAUACUGUCCCCCCCCACUUUGUGUUGGCACCUUCGUGGUAAGCCCCCACACAAUUUUGUCCCUGGUAACGUGAGUAUUUGUAAUUUAUUACUUCCACCCCUGAUGGUGACCACCACAGAAAGUGCGUCCCGAAGCGAAGGUAGAUAUCUGAUCAUGUAGACAAGACUGCAGUGAGACACCAGGGCCAGCAACACAUUACUCUGCGCCACCUCAGGGACAUGUGGCUGCUCCUGAGAUGGUUGACGUUCCCACUAAGAAUAGAGGCUUCCCAUUUGCGUUACAUCAUUUAAACAUUACAUAAUGUACUGCAAUACAUUGUUGUCUCUGCAUAUUAAUUUGAACAAUUUUCCAGUAAUUUUUAUUAUUCUUUCAAAUCACAGCGAUGCAGCAAAGAAGACAUUUUAAGCCAGCACGCAACUGGAAAGUCAUUAGAUCUCACCACAGAUCUGGGAGACAUGACAAUGCUUUCUUUUUAUAAGAUGGUCAGUGGGUUUUGCCCCUUGACAUGCACACUUAUGGGGAAAAUUGGUUAUACACAUAACACUAAAGAUAGAAAGUAUCAUAUUAAUAUAACUGAUCAAACUGUGUAUUUUGAUUUUUUUGAGAACCAGCAACUCCAUCGGUGUUGCAACCAUCAUGUCCAAACUUGUCAGGUUUUAAGUUAAAUUCAGGCAAUUGAAUAUUCUCUUUGACUACUGGUUGUGAGCUUUUGAGCUGAUAACAAAUCUGUCUACUUACCCAGGGAAUAAGUAAAACAUUAAAAAACAGCAAGGACCACGCCACCAACCGCCAAGACAAAUUCCUUGUAUGUUUGACAUAUUUUGGUAAUAAAUGUUUCCUAAUUCCGGAACUGAAUACGUUUAACAAUUUCAUUUGCUAGACAAGAGCGUUAGGAUUGUAAGUUACAUUACAGGUCAUUUAGCUGACGCUUUUAUCCAAAGCGACUUACAUUGUAUUGUUUUUAAACCGUGGCUUUUACAUUUUUGCCCGGGGGAGCAAUUAGGGGUUUGGUGUCGUGCUGAGGGACACUUCGGCAUGGGACAUGGGGCAGCCUGGACUCGAACUAUCAAUCUUGCGUAUUUUAUUUUUCUAUCAAGCUUUUGUUUCUUUUCAUUUAAAGUAAAACAGACUAACUCAAUGGAUCAGUCAUUAUACAGUUGAUAAGAAGAUGAUGAAGAAGAGGAGCUGUAGUCCCGGCAUCCCGGUGCUGCUAUCUCCAACUAAUUAUAAUUACUCAUAAGUAUGUAGUUAUGGCCCCAAGUUGGGAUAGACUCCAGCCCCCCCAACCAUGUGUGCAGGAUAAGCGAUUUGCGGAUGAAUGGAUAAGUAUGCAGUGUCAUAUAUACAGGGUGGGGAUUUUAACAUGCAGCAUUUCUUGAUGCACUGUAAAAACUGGGAUUGGCGUUAAUUAAUAUCUACAUAAUAAAAAAGACUAAGUACAGUUUGGAAUUUUAUUGAGCUAAAUUUAACAAAUGUUUACGGCAUAUCCCUGCUCGUCGUUUUGUAAGUAACUUUAACAUGGCAAGCUGAAGAUCUGCUAAAACCUGACAUUAUACUAAGCUAUAGUGUGUUGAUGUGUGUUGUGCACGCUGUGGCCGGUGUCUUGCUGACUAUUACAAGUUCACCGGCGUUAGUAACGUAACAUUAGUCACACAGUCCUCACGUUCCCGGUGCUGAGAGCCAGCAGGAGAUCCAGACCGCCAUCUUUCUGUGUUCUCUAUCGUAGUGACGUUGUGGAUUCGAUGGUCUCCUCCCGGCCUGACGUCACACCGCACUGCCUGUGAACGCUGGUUUCAGAUCAGUUAUUAUGAGCUGCUCCACAGUAAUAUGCAUGUUAUAACGCUGUGUUCACACGCAUGGGAUAUUUCAGGUUAUUUUGUGUGACUCUGCGUCAGCUAAAUGACAUGUAAUGUAUUACGUCGGGAAGCACGUGAGGCGAAUUGUUCGAGUCACUCGUUAUUUGCGUCAGUGCAUUGACUUAGUUUGUAAACUACUGUGUGAACACAGCAUAAAGAACCAUGUGUACACUUGUAAUAUGUGUUGCUCUGAACCAGAUUUCAUUAUUUGUCUUACAGAUCCAGGAUGAGUUUCCCUGAAGCACAACGUGCAGCUUGUAUCAAAGUUCCUGACCGAGCAGGAGAACCCACUCUCAAUCUCCCCAACCUCUUACUCAAAGUGCAGCCAUGGAGCCAAGGAUGAAAGCAUCCCACUCAAGGUUUUAUUUUAUGAUUUAAAACAAUGAAAUAUCAUUUGCUUAUCACUUACAUCUUCCAGAGGCAAUGUUUACGUUGCAUUUUAAGUGUCAUCUAACAGCAUGCAUUUUAGUUUCUAUAAAGUUGACACUUUUUUCAGGUACAUCAUUAUUCAAAGGAAGCUGCCUCCACAGCAGGGGUCGCCACACCCUUCCCCUUAAGACGGAGUCCCCACAGGGAUCACCGCAAACUCCACAAAAAAAAACAUAACUACUACCUCACCACCCUCUACAUUAAAACUACGCCCCACCUCUGCAACCAGGUACCUUUAAAUAGAGAGAUGAGAACAGAGGAAAGUAUGACGGUUACAUUUCAUAAUCACAAUAUCAACCCUCACCACUACAAUUCAGACCAUUUAACCCAAAAACAUCUGCCAUUAUAUUGUCCUUGCCUUUAAUGUGUCUGACAUCUAAAUUUAUGACUUUGCAGAAACAAAGUCCAUCGCAUCAGACGCUGGUUUGGUCAGGUCUCUGUAGAUCGUGGUUCCUUCGGGACCCUGGUCCUGACACCUACCGUGGCCAUGCUGACGCCUGCUGCUGCCAUCAUCAUCAUCAUCAUUAUUUUUGAUAUUAAUCAUAUUACUUUACUCAUAAACCGACAUUACCCUCUCCUAAAAUCUCUGUGCUCUCCCUCCCCACAGGAUUCUGUGGAUGGUGGUUCUAUCUGAUGGUGGUUGCCUCUGCAGUGGUCCUGCUGUGCGCCUGGCUUACUACUCACAAUUACUUGAAUCAUUUCUGUCAUAGGAAUUGCAUGUAUUAUACAUUGUUCAUUCUGUACACAUGGCAUCCAUUGUAGUCUGUCCAUCCCGGGAGUGGGAUCCCUCCUCUGACGUUCUCCCUAAGGUUUCUUCCCUUUUUUCCCUGUUGGAGGGUUUUUUCAUUUUUUGGGGAGUUUUUCCUGUGCCGAUGGUGGGUUUCGGGGCAGAGGAUGUUGUAUGUGUACAGACUGUAAAGCCCUCUGAGGCAAAUUUGUAAUUUGCGAUUCUGGGCUAUACAAAAUAAAAUGAAUUGACUUGACUUGACUUGGUUUGGGGAGUGCAGCGAACUGAAAAAUGUCAAUGGGUUUUGAUCGGUAUACACAACUACUGGUUUUCCCCCAGUGCCGACAUAAACUUCAUUAAGCGCCAGUGUUUCCUUCUCUAUUGUUGAAUAGUUGCUCUGACAUGAAUUGAACUUCUUUGAGAAGUGGCUGAGGAACUUCAAGGGACCUGAAGGGGAACGGGAUCCAAGGAAGGCUCGCCGCCUAGCUUUGUGCUCCGGAGGAACUGAGGCUAAUUGCCUUCGUGAACACGACUACAUCUGAGUUGAUUUGUAUAUAUGUUUUUGUUCCUUGUGACUGAUUUGUUUUCAUGUCACCAUAAAGAACUGUUGUACAAACUGCAUACCCUGUGUUGAAUUUACAACAUGACAUUUAUUUUCAUUUUAUCAACAAGUUUUUCGAACAGAGACCAAUAGCACUCUGCUCUCUCUGGAGCCCUUUCUCUCUCCUCUUCCCUUGCCACCUGCUCCCUCUCCUCAUCGCUCUUUGAGGAACUCCAGAAUACCCUCUCAGUCCCUGGGCCUCUCCCUUGGCUGACCCCUGCUUCUUCUACAGCAAGGGUCAGCCAGAGGCAGAUGUGCUCACUGUGCCACCCGUAGUGGCAGUCACGUUUGCUGCAACAACCAGGGGCGGACUAAUUAAGUGCUGCCCCUGGAGUGCAGCAUCCAUGGCUGUGUACCACUGCCAGGUAGCAGCAGUGACACUACCGGCCUCUACCCCUUUCCCCGUUGGUGGGUCCCUAUGCUCCUCAAAGCAGGUUAUUACUUAUUUCACUGCAAAGCUGAAAGAAAGUGUACACCAUUUCAGAGAACACAUUCUCGUGCAUGGGUUGAAUACCUGGCUUUGAUAACUAUAAGUAGUUUAUUUAAGGGGAAUCGGACUCUCAUAGUCCAUAAUACAAAGUGGAGAUUAUCUUUUAUCUCGUUUUAAGGUUUGUCCACUUCUUCCUGGCCUGUUUGGCAGAUACUACCAGAAGUGAACAAAAUGGUGCCCGUGGGACACUUGAAUAGAGGGAUAAAUUACUGGCCAAUGAGUAAUAGUACUAUUAAAUUCAGUAUUAAAACUUAAAAAUUGUAAUAUGAUGUAAGGUAUUUAGGUGUAGUUGCCAUAUUUCAGGAAUCAGGAAACAUUUAUUUACCAAAAUUUACCAUUUCAUGUUUUUACAUAGCAUUUAUUAUCUAUCAGUCGCUUGUAUACUAGCAGGUGAGACAGGAAAGUGACUGUAAUAAUCGUUAUAUUUCUCAUAAUCAUUAUAAUAAUAUAAAUAAAUUACAAUAAGAGGGAAGAGAGCAGAGAAGACAAAGGAUCAGACGCUUAGGUUUGGAGCAGCAGAGAUGACUGCAGUCAUAAUGGGGAAAUCAGACCGCUGGAUAUAAUAUGUGUGUGGGGAAAAACCACGGCACUCUAACCGGAUUCUGAUCCCUUACUGGAAAUGUUUGUGAGAACCUAAGCGAUUGUGGCUGCCUGAUACAGACGUAGUGGAGCUCCUUUUCUACCUCAAAUGUUAGGGAGACAAACCAAGGAACCAAUCUACACAGAAAAAGGAUGACACUAUUUUUUUAUUUUUUUACAGCAGAUGUUUAAGAUGUGCUCUUUGACUUCAGUGUAGUUCUGUACUGUUGUGUGAGUGUGUGUUGGCACCUUUGUGGUAAGCCCCCUGAAAUACCGUGUGAGGAUUACAGGUACUACAACCCCAAAGGACAACUUGGAAAUAGAAAUCCAAUCAAAAUUCUUUACUUGUGUUUAGUCUGGGUCAAAACUGGGAUAUCAGUCCAACAGGCAAAAAAAUCCAGAGGUGCAGGCAGGGAAUCCGUAGAAAAGAAGAGGCGGGGGUCAGAACCAGGAUGGCAUUCAGACAGGCAAACAGAUCCGAAAAGGAGCAGACAGAGAAUUCCAGGUCAAAAGGCAGGCUAGGUCCGAACGAUUCUAGGUCAGAAUUGGGCAAGGAUAUCAGUAGGGGAGAACGGGGUAAUGUGAGACACCCGCUGUAUCUAGGGCGGAACACAUUUAUUGUCAUGUGACCAUUAUGUUUUCAAGAGCCCUCCCAUUUCCCUCUUGCCAUGAAGAAGAUGUUUUUCACAAAAAUGUGUUUUUUGCAUGUAAAAGUACAUUUUCUUGCUGUAAACAUAAUCAACUGUUGUGUCAAAACAAAUGAUUGUGAAUGAUUCCGGUAGAAAAAUCUAUAUCAUACAUGUCAAUGAACUUCCAACACAUAAAACCAUGUGAUUAAUGCUAGCUGAAGAUUAGUCUUAAUUGAUUGAAGAGAUGUUGUUUUUUCUAAAUUGGUGGCGGUGGGCCAACGGUAUUGGUCUGCUCACCCUUCCACCCCACACAUGCCAUCGCAUGCAGCCUAUCGAUGUGACCGUGUAUGGGCCCUUCAAGACCCUAUACAGCCGAGCUCUUGAUGGAUGGGUGAGAUCUAUCCCUGGCAAAACAGGACUUGUGAAUGAGGCCUUCUUGUCAGCAGUACACCACGGAAUAUCAUUUCUGGAUUCAAAGCCACUGGGAUUUUCCCAUUUAACCGAGAUAUUUUUCCUGAGGAAGCGUUCGCACCAUCCAUGGUGUCAGACCGGCCAAAUCCGUACCCCCCUGUCGACCGUACCGUUCGCCUGUCGAACCAUCAGCGCCUACACCCCCCCCCCCCCGUCAACGGUAAUGGUCUGGCCCGUGUUAGGUCGAAGUGGGCUGCAUCUGGCCCGCACCUGAUUUGAGUUUGAGACCCCUGAUGUCCACUCCCUGCAGAUCCACCCACUGAUGCUAAUCCAUCCACCUAUCAUGUUCACAUUGAUGUGCCUCUCCUGCUGACUCAGAUGUGCCAUGUCCCAGCCAACCUGGAUAUGUGUCUCCUCGUGAAAUCCUACCACAUCUGAUCAUGGUCCCAUGACUGUUCUAAUCUAACUGGUUCUAUCUGUAAUUAAUUAAAACAUUUUGAAUUAUACUAUGUUGUAUAUGAUUUUGUCCAGAGUUACUUCCAAUGUUUAAAUAAAUGUGCUUAAUUGACCAAUCGCCAUGAUUCUGUUACUAGUCUGAUAUUAGUUUUGGAAUGUGUGGUUGUCAAUCUAGCGGUCAAGAUUUUAACUAUUAAAACAUAUGUUGUUAUGCUAGUUUUAAAGUGGAAAAGGUAAGUGGAUCAGUUUACCCCCAGCUGGUUCACUUUACCCCCUUGAUUUAUCUGGUCUGUCUCACUUUACCCCUAAGCUCGGGUAAAGUGAGACCUUUUUUAAAAACAAUCUUUUUCACUGCCCUUUGUUCUGAAGACAUUCUGAUAAUUUCCAUUGCUAGGAAAUGUGGUGGAAAUUUGUGGAUUAAGCCCAUGUGAGAAAUCAAAAGUAUCUUGAACUCGCUUCGUGAUUUGUGCAGUAUCGAAAAAUGCUAAACAAUACAGAAAUCAUCAACUCAAGCCGUAAGUACAGACAGAAGUCAAAUGACUACAAUUCAGCUGAAAAGGGGCAGAUUGUUCUUUCUCCCUCAGAGGAGCUAAAAGAUCUGACCAAGCUUCUGGGGAGAACAGGAGCUUUUAUACACUUCUGAGAGGUUUGUGUUGAGGAAACCAGAAGACCCCCCUGCAAAAGGAAGAUGUCGUUGGGAGACGCCCGUGACCCUCCCCUAAUGGGACCUAGUCAAUCAUAUUUGACAGACAGAGAAAACACGAUAUGGAUCAGUCAAGGCACCUUUCUUCCAAACAGGAUGCCAUCGUGAACUAGGUCAGGUCACGAGUUGCCCGCACACUGUCUCAUGCACUGUCUCAUGCACUGUCUCACACACUGUCUCUCAUACUGUCCAUGUCUGUACAGUCUUGCGAUGCAGACAACAUCUGGAAAACCUCUGCAUGUGGUGAUCAGUUCUGUUGGUUUAUUUGGCACUUAAUAAACUUCUAUUCCAUGUUUUUCUGUCCAAAUUGAUGAAAUGUUUGAUUAUGAGUAACCGAUAUAUACUGAUUCAUCCAUACACAUUCACACACACAUAAUAAAACUCCUAGUUCUAUAUGGUCACUCUUUGGGCUUGUCAUCUACAUAUUCUGAAAGAGUUCAGAUAACUAUUCUCAUUGGAUCAUGAUGCAUUUGAUGAAGCCUCAUGCAAGCAGGCACAUUUAAAGAAAUGUACCCUGAUUCAUUAAUGAUGAGGCACUUACAUUUUCCCAACACACAUUCAGCUUUUCUGCGAUACUUUGUCGGGCUUGUAGCCCUCACAGGGGGGCGGCGGCAGUCUUUGCCGUGAUUAUUUGACUCAAUUAAUUUUAGUUUAUAUAGCACAAUCGCAAAUUUGCCUGAGAGGGCUUCACAGUCUGUACACACCUCUGUCCUGAAUCCCUCACAUCGGUGCAGGAAAAAAGAAAAAAGCAUUCGUUGGGGAGAAUAACGGGAAGAAACCUUAAGAGAAACAGGAGGAUCCACCCCCGGAUGGAUCUUCCUGUUUCAUGGACUGCGAUGGACGCAGAUGGACGUACAGAUUGAACAACGCGAACGAUGUGCAAUACAUUCAAUUCAUCCAACAGAAAUGAUUUAAAUACACAUUAUCUCCUUAAAUGCGUUCAUGAUCAUCUCCUGCUCUUCAGAGGAGAAAAAGACACUCUUCUUUAAGUAUAUUUGCCGUUGUACCGUUAAAAAUCGGGGAUCGACUCUUCCGCCUUCUAACGUAGGAUGCGCACGCGCGAUUAUCCUGAUGACUCAAACUAACGAGACCUUUUGCGAGUAAGAUCAGCCUUUGAAGAACCGAGAGCCUGAUGUCAAUCAUCUCGUUAAUUUGAGCUGGAUAAAUGGACAUUUGAUCGACUUAGUUGAACAACGUAUGAAGAACAGGGCCCUGGAGUUGUCUUGUGGGUCUUGUGUACUCUGCAUGUCCCACAAGACUGCUUUCAAUCUCAUGCUUGAUGUUUGCUCAAUCGUCAAGGUACUAUUGCCAUUAAAAGCAAACAGAGGUUUUCGAGUUUAGGCACAGACUAUGCAUACAACUACACAUACAUAGUGUGUAUAGUAUUGUAGCAACUCUCGCUACUGAAGUUCUGGACAACGCAUUCUUAGGAUUUUAUUGUUGGCCGUAGCCUGCGCUGAAACAAAACAACUGCUUUCAAUCACAAGAACUCUGACAACGCUCCUGCGUCCCGUUACUUUAACCCACCCACAAACAUCACAACAACACAUAGGUGGCACUAGGAUGCUUGACAUGCACAUCGUGAGCCCUUCACCGACCUUCUAAAUAAGAGUUUAUUAACUGACUAAUCAGAUCACAACUUUUUGAAAUAACAACUACUAUAGUCUUCUAUCUAUACAGCAAAUUAAGCUAACUACACUGCGCAGUGGGAUAGCGAUAGCAAUUGUUCUUUACACCACGUGUGUCCUAGCUAGCUGACUUCUGCCAGCCUGGAGUUUUGAGGGUCUCUGGUGACGUUAAGGGGACCCCCGGCGUUAGGGGGUGUGUAUACCAUGUUAAGGGGUCAGACGCCGUCUGCUGGCCAGAUUGGCACGGUACACAUACUAACUUUGGCUUAGUGCAUUAUUUCCCACACCAGUUUGUGUGAGUAUUUACAGACCCUCGCAGUGAGACUGUAUAUUCUUAAAUAUUAAAAGUCUGCGUGUGUGUUUACCUUUUUGAUUUGACCUAAGAUAUUUUUUAAGCUGCACUUAUCAAUAUGUUUAUACAAGCAUGUUUUCAAGUGUGCUGUGAAAGGUUUCAGUCAUCGACCAUAUGUUGCCUCUUCUAAAUGUUCGUGAUUUUUAGCCCUUUGUUUUAUUUUGACAACCUUUAUCAUUCAUUUUAGUUCAGUAUUACUUCCCUCACUAACUCCGUUUCUGAAGCAGCAGCAAUUAGAGAAAACGGUUUAGUAAGCUCCCCACUCAUCACCAACACACCUAAUAGAAAUGGUUUAGCAACCAGCUAAGCAGGAGUUUGUCUGAGACUCCAGAUUAAUUUGUAAGUUGCUCUUUGUCUGAUGGAGGAGUAACUGUGUCAUACAAAUUAUUUCUCGGCACCGGUGUAAAAUCAUUUAAAAGCAAGUAUGAGAUAGAAUUGACACGCAUACAAGUCAUGCACUAAGUUCUUCAUCGGUGCUUAAAUAUAUACCUGGAGAUAACAUUUGCUAAAACGCGGGGAGCUCUGGGCUAGACGAUCAUCUUCUACACCUCGGGCACCACGAUAUCUGGACACUGGCACCCUGGCAGCACCGUGGACAGAGCCUCAGGAAACUGCACAGGAGCAAAGAUCAGCACCAAGGUCAGAGGUGAGCAGGAGCUGACUUCACGCAGGGGCAUGUUGGGGCAUGUGUGUUAAUCCCCGUUGUUUUUCUGUGUUUUCCGCAGUAAGGAGACGGAAGGCUGGACAGCCUGGUUGGACCUAUUGAACCGAUCCCUCAAGAGAGGAAGAACCUGUUUUGGCCUCAUUUUUUUUUUUGACCUUAUUUUUGUGCAGCCACUCGUGCAUACGAGUGCUAUCAUUUCACCCACAGCCGUUGGUUGCCACAACGAACAUCUUCACUAUCAGCCUGAAUGCACUGUGUCUCUGCGUGAGGGAUCACAGACUCUCUGUCCUCUGAGUAGUAUUGACCUAAGAUUAAAUAUUAUUUAUGUUUCCCCAACAGCGUGCCACCAGUUCUCAGAUUGCUUUUCCUUUGUUUGAGACUGGGAUAUUUAAGAAUGGACUGCUGCUGAUUGUUGCGACCAACUUGAAUGACAUUUUUAUAGUGUUUGUUGUGGUUGCUGCUUUUUUGGCAACACACCUCCCUUUUAUUACCUCAUGCUGAGAUGUUGAUCUGUGACUUAAAAUAACUUUCAGUAUGGAUUUCUGGAGCUUAGAGAAGCGGUGUUGGUUGUGUAUCAUAGAUCACCUUGGUUAAAGUGAAAAUCAAUUUUCAUUUUAACACAAAUUCAAAUUUGUUGGUAGUGGAUAAAUUGAUUCUAUCUCCGAUCUGAACUUUCAUAUAAAGGAUAUACUAUUGUGGCUCAGUGGUAGAGAAGGGUUGUCCUUUUACAAUUUGAGUAUCAGUGGUUCCCUGCCUGGUUGUUCUGGCUGCACCCCGACACCAGAUGGUCAGACUCCCACCUGUAGGCAGACUCGUCCCCACCAGAGAUCAGUCCAAAGAGGGUGGUGGCAUCUGCAAACUUCAGGAGCUUGACGUAAUGGUGACUGGAGUUGCAGAGGGGAAUGAACGCAGCCUUGGGGGAAACCUGUGCUGAUAGUCUGGGAGGCUGAACUACCCAUUCAAACCCAUUUUGGGUUAUGAGUAUGGCCUUUGGGACCACACAUCAACAUGGACUGGCAAAGGCAGGGAACCACUGAUCCUCAAAUUUUAAAAGGACAACCGUUCACUAACACUGAGCCACAGUCGCCCCAACAGUAUAUCCUUUAUAUGUUUAUAAGUUCAGAUUGGAUUCUCCAGCCUCACAUGCUGCUUCCUAUUGUACAGGAAGUUUGUGAUCCACUUGCAGGUCGAGUCGGGCACGUGCAGCUGGGAUAGUUUGUCCUGCAGGAGAGACGGGAUGAUGGUGUUGAAAGCAGAGCUGAAGUCUACCAAAAAAAGAUCCUUGGGUAGGUUCCUGGGGAGUCCGUGAUAACAGUUAAGCAUGCUGGAGGAUGUAGUGGAGGGCCAAGUUGACAGAAUCAUCCACAGACUUGUUUGCUCUGUAGGUGAACUGCAGGGGGUCCAGGAGGGGGUCAGUGUGG
ensembl:lncRNA